AUUGAACGCUGGCGGCAGGCCUAACACAUGCAAGUCGAACGGUAACAGGAAGAAGCUUGCUUCUUUGCUGACGAGUGGCGGACGGGUGAGUAAUGUCUGGGAAACUGCCUGAUGGAGGGGGAUAACUACUGGAAACGGUAGCUAAUACCGCAUAAUGUCGCAAGACCAAAGAGGGGGACCUUCGGGCCUCUUGCCAUCGGAUGUGCCCAGAUGGGAUUAGCUAGUAGGUGGGGUAACGGCUCACCUAGGCGACGAUCCCUAGCUGGUCUGAGAGGAUGACCAGCCACACUGGAACUGAGACACGGUCCAGACUCCUACGGGAGGCAGCAGUGGGGAAUAUUGCACAAUGGGCGCAAGCCUGAUGCAGCUAUGCCGCGUGUAUGAAGAAGGCCUUCGGGUUGUAAAGUACUUUCAGCGGGGAGGAAGGGAGUAAAGUUAGUACCUUUGCUCAUUGACGUUACCCGCAGAAGAAGCACCGGCUAACUCCGUG
rnacentral:rRNA from 1 species